GCCAGGCUGGCUCAGUCAGUAGAGCCCGUGACUCUUGAUCUCAGGGUCGUGAGUUCAAGCCCCACGUUGGGCA
rnacentral:tRNA from 1 species